AGUGAACGCUGGCGGUAGGCCUAACACAUGCCAGUCGAACGGCAGCACAGUAAGAGCUUGCUCUUACGGGUGGCGAGUGGCGGACGGGUGAGGAAUACAUCGGAAUCUACUUUUUCGUGGGGGAUAACGUAGGGAAACUUACGCUAAUACCGCAUACGACCUACGGGUGAAAGCAGGGGAUCUUCGGACCUUGCGCGAUUGAAUGAGCCGGUGUCGGAUUAGCUAGUUGGCGGGGUAACGGCCCACCAAGGCGACGAUCCGUAGCUGGGCUGAGAGGAUGAUCAGCCACACUGGAGCUGAGACGCGGUCCAGACUCCUACGGGAGGCAGCAGUGGGGAAUAUUGGACAAUGGGCGGAAGCCUGAUCCAGCCAUACCGCGUGGGUGAAGAAGGCCUUCGGGCUGUAAAGCCCUUUUGUUGGGAAAGAAAAGCAGCAGGUUAAUACCCCGCUGUUCUGACGGUACCCAAAGAAUAAGCACCGGCUAACUUCGU
rnacentral:rRNA from 1 species